UUCGUAGGUGGCCGAUUUAGUCAGACGUGAAAUCCCUCAGCUCAACCUGGGGAACUGCGUCUGAUACUGAUUGGCUUGAGUGCAGGAGAGGAACGCGGAAUUCCAGGUGUAGCGGUGAAAUGCGUAGAUAUCUGGAGGAACACCGGUGGCGAAGGCGGCGUUCUGGACUGUAACUGACACUGAGGAACGAAAGCCAGGGAGGCAAACG
rnacentral:rRNA from 1 species